CAACGACUCUCGGCAACGGAUAUCUCGGCUCUCGCAUCGAUGAAGAACGUAGCGAAAUGCGAUACUUGGUGUGAAUUGCAGAAUCCCGUGAACCAUCGAGUCUUUGAACGCAAGUUGCGCCCAAAGCUUCGGCUGAGGGCACGUCUGCCUGGGUGUCACGCA
rnacentral:rRNA from 1 species